UAAGCUAUUAAGGGCUAACGGCGGAUGCCUUGGCAUCGGAAGGCGAUGAAGGACGUGGCAAGCUGCGAUAAGCUUCGGGGAGUUGUUAACAGGCUUUGAUCCGGAGAUUUCCGAAUGGGGAAACCCGACAGGAGUUAUAUCCUGUCAUCUGUUACUGAAUACAUAGGUAGCAGAGGCGAACGCGGGGAAUUGAAACAUCUAAGUACCUGCAGGAAUAGAAAUCAAAAGAGAUUCUGUGAGUAGCGGCGAGCGAAAGCGGAACAGCCCAAACCGGUAAAUUUAUUUACCGGGGUUGUAGGACCCCAAUGUGGGAUUGAAAAUGUAUAGCGGAACAGUAUGGAAAGGCUGACCAGAGACGGUGAUAGUCCGGUACGCGAAAUGCAGUUUCACCCUAGGGAGUUCCUGAGUACCACGAGACACGUGAAACCUUGUGGGAAUCUGGGAGGACCAUCUUCCAAGGCUAAAUACUAACCGAUGACCGAUAGUGAACGAGUACCGUGAGGGAAAGGUGAAAAGAACGGGGGAACCCGAGUGAAAUAGAAACUGAAACCGUUAGCCUACAAGCAGUGGAAGCACUAUGUAUUUAUACAGUGUGACCGCGUGCCUUUUGCAUAAUGAGUCAACGACUUACCCUGUGCAGCGAGGUUAAGCCGCGAGGUGGAGCCGCAGCGAAAGCGAGUCUUAAUAGGGCGAAUGAGUUGUAUGGGGUAGACCCGAAGCCGGGUGAUCUAUCCAUGGCCAGGGUGAAGUCUCGGUAACACGAGAUGGAGGCCCGAACCGAUAUAGGUUGAAAACUGUUCGGAUGAGCUGUGGAUAGGAGUGAAAGGCUAAUCAAACUCGGUAAUAGCUGGUUUUCUCCGAAAUAUAUUUAGGUAUAGCCUCAUAUGAUGACUGACGGAGGUAGAGCACUGACAAGACUAGGGGUCCCACCGGAUUACCAACUCUUUUCAAACUCCGAAUGCCGUCAAGUUCAAGUAUGGGAGUCAGACUACGGGAGAUAAGUUCCGUGGUCGAAAGGGAAACAGCCCAGACCGUCAGCUAAGGUCCCCAAAUCUAUGCUAAGUGGGAAAGGAUGUGGAAUUGCAGAUACAACCAGGAGGUUGGCUUAGAAGCAGCAACCCUUUAAAGAAAGCGUAACAGCUCACUGGUCUAGUGAUACCGCGCCGAAAAUUUAACGGGGCUAAGCAUAGUACCGAAGCUACGGAUCGCGCCUUUGGCGCGAUGGUAGGAGAACAUUGUGGCCGCCUGAGAAGGUACACCGAAAGGAGUGCUGGAGGUUCCACAAGAGCUUAUGUUGACACGAGUAGCGAUAAUGAGGGUGAGAAACCCUCACGCCGAAAGCCUCAGGUUUCCUGUAGUCAAGUUAAUCUGCUCAGGGUUAGUCGGCCCCUAAGGCGAGGCCGAGAGGCGUAGUCGAUGGGAAACAGGUUAAUAUUCCUGUACCACUUUUCUGAUGUUAUGGUAAGGGGUGACGGAGAAGGUAAGGCCAUCCGGGCGUUGGUUGUCCCGGUUUAAGCGUGUAGACGGAGGACUCAGGCAAAUCCGGGUUCUUGUUAACGUUGAGGCGUGAUGACGAUGUCUUUGAGACAACAAAGUGGCUGGUUCCAUGCUUCCUGGAAAAUCCUCGUAUCUAGUCAGAGAUGUGACCGUACCGUAAACCGACACAGGUAGGCAGGUAGAGAAUACCAAGGCGCUUGAGAGAACUCUGGUUAAGGAACUCGGCAAAAUAGCACCGUAACUUCGGGAGAAGGUGUGCCUGCAUGGUGAAGUUAUUUACUAAUUGAGCCUGGUCAGGUUGCAGUGAAAUGGGGGGAGCGACUGUUUACUAAAAACACAGGACUCUGCGAAGUCGAAAGACGAAGUAUAGGGUCUGACGCCUGCCCGGUGCCGGAAGGUUAAGGGGACGUGUUAGUCUUUGGACGAAGCACUGAACCGAAGCCCCGGUAAACGGCGGCCGUAACUAUAACGGUCCUAAGGUAGCGAAAUUCCUUGUCGGGUAAGUUCCGACCUGCACGAAUGGCGUAACGAUUUCCCCACUGUCUCAACCAGAGACUCAGCGAAACUGUAGUACCGGUGAAGAUGCCGGUUACCCGCAACAAGACAGAAAGACCCCGUGAACCUUUACUACAGCUUGGCAUUGGUUUUUGAGGUAACAUGUGUAGGAUAGGUGGGAGACUUUGAAGCGGUGACGCCAGUCAUCGUGGAGUCGUCCUUGAAAUACCACCCUUGUUAUCUUAGGAAUCUAACUGCGGUCCGUAAUCCGGAUCCAGGACAUUGUCUGGUGGGUAGUUUGACUGGGGCGGUCGCCUCCUAAAGAGUAACGGAGGCGCGCGAUGGUUCCCUCAGGCUGAUUGGAAACCAGCCGUAGAGUGUAAAGGCAUAAGGGAGCUUGACUGCGAGACAGACAUGUCGAGCAGGUACGAAAGUAGGUCUUAGUGAUCCGGCGAUUCCGCAUGGAAGGGUCGUCGCUCAACGGAUAAAAGGUACUCCGGGGAUAACAGGCUUAUCUCCCCCAAGAGUCCAUAUCGACGGGGAGGUUUGGCACCUCGAUGUCGGCUCAUCACAUCCUGGGGCUGAAGCAGGUCCCAAGGGUUUGGCUGUUCGCCAAUUAAAGUGGUACGCGAGCUGGGUUUAAAACGUCGUGAGACAGUUUGGUCCUUAUCUGUUGCGGGCGCAGGAUAUUUGAGGAGAUCUUUCCCUAGUACGAGAGGACCGGGAUGGACGAACCUAUGGUGUACCAGUUGUUCCGCCAGGGGCAUUGCUGGGUAGCUAAGUUCGGCAGGGAUAACCGCUGAAAGCAUCUAAGCGGGAAGCCCACUCCAAGAUAAGAUAUCCCAUGGCUUAAGCCAUCUGAAGGCUCGUGGUAGACCACCACGUAGAUAGGUCGGGUGUGGAAGUGCAGUAAUGCAUGGAGCUUACCGAUACUAAUCAGCCGUGCGGCUUAUCCA
rnacentral:rRNA from 1 species